CUAGGGUUUUCGGAAUGGAGUAUUUGUGGGGUCCAUGGUGGGCCGGGCUGACGUGGUGUGCUUGCCCGGACACGUUCGGGAUCCCCAUAUCCACCCCAUAUUUGGGCUGGAUAUUAGGGGUGCUGUUAAGGUCGGGCAUUUGAGGUCCGUUUAGGACGUCCACCUGGGUCGAUUUUUCCUAACCGGGUGCUGACCGGACGGCCUGUGCGGGCGUUUGGGAUGGGUAUAAGAGGUCCGCUAUAGAUGCUCUUAUGAUUGUUUAGUACGUUGUUAUUCUAUGGUGAGCGCAAUGCAUGUUUUUCAAUUUAAGGACCCAGACGACAAGAUCUAAAUAUUGUUUAGAGAACCCGCAUCUUUAGAUGACACGUGGAGAUAUUUACGAUGAACAAAGAAAAUAAGAGAUAACAGCGAACCACGAAGCAUAAUGCAUGGCUCGAGUUUAAUGACCUUAGUUGUGAAGGUCAUUUUAUACCCAUGGGUAGUACCCGUAUCCUACCCAUUAAGUCAUAGAU
rnacentral:lncRNA from 1 species